rnacentral:rRNA from 1 species
UGAGGAAUAUUGGUCAAUGGUCGCAAGACUGAACCAGCCAUGCCGCGUGCAGGAAGACGGUCCUAUGGAUUGUAAACUGCUUUUAUACAGGAAGAAACCCUCCCACGUGUGGGAGCUUGACGGUACUGUAGGAAUAAGGAUCGGCUAACUCCGUGCCAGCAGCCGCGGUAAUACGGAGGAUCCAAGCGUUAUCCGGAAUCAUUGGGUUUAAAGGGUCCGUAGGCGGUCUUAUAAGUCAGUGGUGAAAGCCCAUCGCUCAACGAUGGAACUGCCAUUGAUACUGUAAGACUUGAAUGCUUAGGAAGUAACUAGAAUAUGUAGUGUAGCGGUGAAAUGCUUAGAUAUUACAUGGAAUACCAAUUGCGAAGGCAGGUUACUACUAAGUGAUUGACGCUGAUGGACGAAAGCGUGGGGAGCGAACAGGAUUAGAUACCCUGGUAGUCCACGCCGUAAACGAUGGAUACUAGCUGUUCGGCGCAAGUUGAGUGGCUAAAGCGAAAGUGAUAAGUAUCCCACCUGGGGAGUACGCACGCAAGUGUGAAACUCAAAUGAAUUGACGGGGUCAUAGCUGUUUCCUG